rnacentral:rRNA from 1 species
GUGAGGAAUAUUGGACAAUGGGCGCAAGCCUGAUCCAGCAAUGCCGCGUGCAGGAAGAAGGCCUUCGGGUUGUAAACUGCUUUUGUACGGAACGAAACGGUCCUGGCUAAUAUCCGGGGCUAAUGACGGUACCGUAAGAAUAAGCACCGGCUAACUACGUGCCAGCAGCCGCGGUAAUACGUAGGGUGCGAGCGUUAAUCGGAAUUACUGGGCGUAAAGCGUGCGCAGGCGGUGCUGUAAGACAGGCGUGAAAUCCCCGGGCUCAACCUGGGAAUUGCGCUUGUGACUGCAGUGCUGGAGUGCGGCAGAGGGGGAUGGAAUUCCGCGUGUAGCAGUGAAAUGCGUAGAUAUGCGGAGGAACACCGAUGGCGAAGGCAAUCCCCUGGGCCUGCACUGACGCUCAUGCACGAAAGCGUGGGGAGCAAACAGGAUUAGAAACCCCGGUAGUCC